GUGUGUGUGUGUGUGUGUGUGUGUGUGUGUAUGUGUAAGUGUGUUUGUGUUUUUUUUUUGCUCUCAUACACACGCUUACAAAACACACACACACACAAAACUAUACUAUCUUUUGAAGAGGAGAAAAGUGAGGGAGAAGAGAGAGAGAAAAAAGCCUGGGCUGCUUCCUGACUGGAGGUAGCUCUGCUGGACGGCUGUGUGGAUGGAUGGACGGAUGGAGCGAGGGAUUCUGGGUGAUCGGCUGCUGUGUGUGUGGAGGGGGAUCUGGAGGACUGGAGCUGAAGCAGCGAUGGAAGAGUCAGAGCGAGAGCAGCUUAGAGUGGUGGAGGAAGACGAAGACAAUAAUAAAGGUC
rnacentral:lncRNA from 1 species